UACGGAGGGUGCAAGCGUUAUCCGGAUUCACUGGGUUUAAAGGGUGCGUAGGUGGGCUAGUAAGUCAGUGGUGAAAUCUCCGGGCUUAACCCGGAAACUGCCAUUGAUACUAUUAGUCUUGAAUGUCGUGGAGGUAAGCGGAAUAUGUUAUGUAGCGGUGAAAUGCUUAGAUAUGACAUAGAACACCGAUGGCGUAGGCAGCUUGCUACACGAAUAUUGACACUGAGGCACGAAAGCGUGGGGAUCAAACAGG
rnacentral:rRNA from 1 species